AUGCUGGGAACAGUGUCAGAGAGAGGGAUGCUGGGAACAGCCUCGGGAGAGGGAUGCUGGGAACACCCCAGGGUGAGGGAUGCUGGGAACAGCGUCAGAGAGAGGGAUGCUGGGAACAGCCCGGAGAGAGCUGCUCCGCUCAGGGAACCACGACCUGUCACUCCCUGUCCACCGAGGCCUGAUUCAGAAUUUUCCGUGUGAAAAGGGACGAUCCCGAGAUGUUACAGAGCUGGACGCUACAGACAACAACUGUUAUUAAUUAUUGGAGAAGUUUAGGUCUGAUGGAUUUUUAAUCUCAUUCAAAGUCUACACCGUCUGUGGAGAGCGGGUGAAAUGCUUUGUUGUUCCAUCCAAAUCCCCGACGGCCGCUGUCGAACCUCCAGCGCACGGCCCAAACCGGCGUCACCUCUGCAGUUAACUGAGCAAAUAUUACAGGAUCCAUUUGCACAGGGAUGCGCUCCGGCAGGUCCAGCCCGCUCGCCGCGUGUUUGCUCAUCCCGGGGGAGCCCAUCCGGCACUUUGAAUGCUUCCCCCACACAACACCUCUAACCGAGCAGGAGCAAUCUGAUCCCCCAGCUGGAGUGAUGGACUCCAGCAUCCCAGAGGAAUGGAGACUGGGCCAACCCGAGGCAGGAAGACCUGCUUACCAGCCAUCCCCAGGACCUGUGACCUGCUACCUGUGACCUGCCACCUGUGACCUGCCACCUGCGACCUGCGGGAGACUGGCCAGCCGCUCCAUCCAGAGUCCUGCAAGAUUGCUUAGCAGUGCCCAGCUGGGCAGUGUGGCCGUAUGCCCGCAGACCAUGAUUUCUUUGGCCUUUGGGCUCAGCUAAAAUGCAGUCCUCUGACAGCUCUUCCCUGCUUUCGGAAACUGUUCUCACCUCGAGCCCUUGCUUUUUGGUCUGAAACCACAGGCACCUUGAGAGUAGACAAAGAAGCCAGGCCCAUUCCGAUGACCCUGGCCCUCCCUCGCCCCCGAGAGAACUGUUUCCACAGGACCUUCCUGCCGGCCCUCUGAAGAUGGAUUGGGGGCAGCAUGGCUACAAAGGAGAAACAUUCAGUCCCGAGGAUGCCAUUUUGAAGUCUGUUAAAAAUAAAUGCCGAGGCU